GGCCAGAGGUCACCAAGCUUGAACUUUGCAACACAGCAAACUGCGAAACUUAGCAGGAAUAUGACUGGAAGUCUAAGGGGAGAAAAGUACAGUGUGAACGCAGCUUGAGUGUGUUAAAGCAGUGUUCAAACUAAACUGAGCAGGGCUGCAGCCCUCCAGGAAGAGUUUGACACCCCUAAGCUGCCAGGUAGGAGGUACGAGCCAUCCACAUGCUGACAAAACGAUAGUGUUCUCCAGACACCACGUUCCUGAGGAAGCCUAAAAGCACACAAUCAAUCUCUGACAUUGUAAUUAUGCACUCAAGAAGGAAGCACUGAUCUUUUGGGAGAACACGUAAUUGUUUACCUUUGUUUUCCUCAUUCUCUGCUAAUGCCUUCACACUGGACAUUAGAAUAUCAUCAUAACCCAGGCACUCGUCCAGGAGGAAGCGACUGAAACCAUCUCCAAAGCACUGAUCUUUCAUUGGAUCUACAGACAAGCAGAGAGAGAUUGACAGAGAUUCACAAUG
rnacentral:lncRNA from 1 species